rnacentral:rRNA from 1 species
AGAGUUUGAUCCUGGCUCAGGACGAACGCUGGCGGCGUGCCUAACACAUGCAAGUCGAGCGGAGAUUGCAGCAAUGUAAUCUUAGCGGCGGACGGGUGAGUAACGCGUGGGCAACCUACCUUCCACUGGGGGAUAACACAGGGAAACUUGUGCUAAUACCGCAUAACAUGGUGAAGAGACAUCUCUUUAUCAUCAAAGGAGUAAUCCGGUAGAAGAUGGGCCCGCGUCCGAUUAGCUAGUUGGUGAUGUAACGGACCACCAAGGCGACGAUCGGUAGCCGAACUGAGAGGUUGAUCGGCCACAUUGGGACUGAGACACGGCCCAGACUCCUACGGGAGGCAGCAGUGGGGAAUAUUGCACAAUGGGGGAAACCCUGAUGCAGCAACGCCGCGUGAAGGAUGAAGGUUUUCGGAUUGUAAACUUCUUUGAUGAGGGACGAAUAAAUGACGGUACCUCAAAAACAAGCC